AUGGCCGGGCGGGGCGCCGCCAUCCCUGCGCAGCUAGAGGGGAGCGCCCGCCCCACGGGCUCCCCCAUGGCGGCGGCCCCCGUGGGGGGGGAGGCGGGGGGUAGGGACGGGGCCCCGCGCCCCGUGCCCAGUGUCCAGAGAGAAGAUGGUACGUUGGACGAGGCGACGAGAAAAGAUCUUUUCACAGACACCUUCUGUAAAGUGUGCGGGGCUGUGCUGCAGUUCGAGUCGCAAAGAAUUUCACAUUACGAGGGCAAAAAGCAUGCUCAGAAAGUUCGCCUUUAUUUCCAAAUGCGCAGUGAACAAGAUGACGGACAAGAGCCUGGCAAACAGAAGAGACCAGAUCAUGUGAACUUUCAGGUGGAUGGGAGUGGAGUAGUGGACAAAAACAAAUAUUGCAAUCUUUGCAACAUGAUUUUUACUUCUCCAGUUGUUGCUCAGUCUCAUUACCUGGGAAAAAUACAUGCCAAAAAGCUGAAGCAAUUAUCAGGAGACCAACCUCAAGUGCCUGCACAGAACACUCAACCACAAACAGGUUCCCCCGCUGGGCCUUCUACAUCUCUGGCACUCCAGCAGCCCUCAGCUGAGAAGCUCCCCCAGGAGCUGAAUGUUGAAGAGUCCACGUCAUCCUCUAGCGUUGCUUUGGAUUUAAAUGAUCCAGACAAGUACUGCAAGCUCUGCUCAGCGCCCUUCAAUAAUCCAUUGAUGGCCCAUCAACAUUAUGUGGGCAAGAAGCACAAAAGGAACGAAGCACGGAAGAAGAUGAUGGCGGAGAUGGGAGAGGAAGCUGUUCCUGCGGAAUCCAGUGCAAAUGCAGUUGGAGUUGGUAACUACAUAUGUCCUAUAUGUAACAUCACUCUUACGUCUAUAGAAAUGUACCAGUCCCAUAUGCAAGGAAAUAAACAUCAGAUUAAAGAAACCAUGGUUGUCAACCUCAUAAAGAAUUCAAAGAAAACAUAUGACUCCUUUCAAGAUGAAUUAGAAGAUUACAUUAAAGUGCAAAAAGCUAGAGGACUGGAACCAAAAACAUAUUUCAGAAAAGCAGAGGAGGAAGAGUUUGUAAACUAUGAGUUAGAAGCUGUAAAUGAUUCUGAUAAUAUUGUAUCUGCCAAUGUUACAUUUGAACAAGGACAGCAUUCCAUCCUCUUCUCAGAAACAUACAUGUCAUCACAUGCUGUUGAAAACAGAUCUCUGUGCUGGUCACCAGCUCAUGAGAAUAGGCUAAGACUAGAAAACAUGGCUAAAUGUCAUGACAGCAAGGAAUAUUAUUCAGAAAUGCAAACAUCUCAGGUGACCUCUUUCAAAGAUGACAGCUAUGGCGUAUCAUCUGCAGAAUCCAGUGACUGCUACAAACACAUCUCUUCUGAUAAUAGCACCCGCUCCUAUAGGAAAGGCCGAAAGCUUCGAAGGAAGCAUGAAGAGGGGGAAAGACACACUGGGGAAGGAGAAGAGAAACACAACAAAGAAGCCACAAAGCAGAAGAGAAAGGAAAACAGUGAAGACACAGAUUCUGGAAAGGACAGAGAAAUGCAAAAGCGAAGAAAGAUUGAUCUAGAUUCAACUCAUGAGAAAAAAUCAAAGCACAGUAAAGACAAAAGAAUUAAAGAAAUACCCACUGAGAAAGAGAGUAGAAAGCACAAAAAGGAUAAAAGGAAACUACAGCCUGAUGGCAAAACAGAAGAAGAGAUACUUUGGGAUGAAUCUAUCCUGGGAUUCUAAUAGAGGUUUUGAUUAACUUUAUGAAGUCGGUAUUUUUUGUAGUCUCUCUUAACCAUGGUGUACUAUGUUAUGACUCAAUAAUUUUUGUCCCACUCUGUGGAAGCAAGAAAAAGCCUGACUUCUGAAAGUAUUGGGUAGUAGGUAUGAAUCAGCUUUUAAUAAUCUCAUACACACAACAGUCCUACAACAACAUGAAUUGAAAGCCUAUAAUCUGUUCUGGAAUGUACUUCAAAUAUGGAUUAGCAGAUGAAAGAAAACAAUCUCUCAUCCUAAGGAAAGAGGAGAGCUCUGGGCAGACCACACACAUCAACCACACUCCUCUCUCUCUGCUGUCUCAGCCGUUCAUGUGGCGAAAGUGUUAUGUAGGCUAACACGUGCAAAGCCAUGCACACAGUGUGCAGCUUGGCUGUAAGCAGUGGGUGCUGGCACAGCAUCAGUGGGCCCACGAAAAUGAGCUUCCCACCACUUGCUGUGCUAUGCUAGCUGGCUUGUCUUGUCACAUUCACCAUUGAAUAAUGCUGGUGCCUGCCUACAGCGGUAAGGUAUACAGAGCAGAGAAACAACACAGGCGAGAGGCUAUCUCAGCAUCCCAGAUGAGUUGCCCAACUUUCUGCCUAAUUCUUCUGAGAACAUUAAUCCAGAUGAUCUCUUUGGUCCACCAAGCAACAACCCUUUUUGCAGCCCCUAGCUGAGACUCACUUCUUCAGUUGUGCCCUCAAGAAAUGAGCAAACAAUUAUACCUACACUACUCCUGGGGGAAUUCUGUGCCAAAAAACCAAAAAUUCUGCAACAAAAAAUUAAAAAUUCUGUGCACAAUAUUUUAAAAUUCUUCAAAAUUCUGCAUAUUUUAUUUGUCAAACUAGCACAAUAUAAUCACACCAGUUUCAAUUAUUUUUGGUCAUUUAUUUCAAAAUACCAGUCAGCAAGUAUGUCUGUAACAAUACAGACAACAAAAAAGAUUCAGGAAAUGUUUUUUGACAAAUUGAUUCCUAACUAGGCAUAUUAAUACAGAAUUCUGAGUAAUAAUUCAUUUAAACUACAAUACAGAACUGUAUUUCCCGUACCUCCCAGAAGCAGUGCAAAGGCUUUGGGGAGUCAGGGGUAACAGCGGAGCUGAGGGAGAGUGAAGUAAAUUGCUGGGAAGGAGCCUGGGUGUGAACGUGGAGGGUAUGGUUGGAUAUGGGUGGGAAACGUAUGGAACCAUUUUUUUGGUGGCGCAUGAAGGGAUUUUUAGGGAGCUUCCCCCCUGCAGACCCUGGCUGACCCCUCGCCUCUGCCAUUCAGUCAAGCACUUCUGCCCCGUCCCCAUGUGUUCCUGCACCCCAAAGUGUCCUUGCACCUCUCCCCCCUGUCCAUGUGUGUCCCUCCACCCCCACUCAGAUGCCCACUCCUCCAUCCCCAUGUGGCCCUGCACCCCUCCCCCAUUCCUUUGUGGCUCUGUACCUCAACCCCACGUGUCUCUGUGCCCCCACCUGGCCACUCCCCUGUCCCUGUGUCCCUGUACUCCCUCCCCUGUCCCCAUGUGUCUGUGUCCCCACUCAGCCACCCCCUGUCCCUAUGUAGCUCAGCAGCCCCUCCCCCAUCACCAUGUGGCCUUGCACCUCUCUCCCCCCUGUGGCCCUGUGCCUCCACUCCCAUUCAGCCCCUGCCCCAGUCUGUCCUCCCCCACUAACCUUAUGAGCCCCUGUCUGACGCUCCGCAGCACUGGACGCUGUCUGUCUCCCCAUACCCCAUGUAUCUUGAUAUGGCUUGACAGGCGCUGCGAAGAAGGCAGGCUCUUUCUCUUCCCUAUCUGGCUGGGAGCUGCUGCUGUUCUUGUGCCACAUCGCCCUCCGGUGGACAAAAGGUGGAACUGCAGCAACUUUUAGGCAGAAGCUUUUAUCAUCAUGAUUAUUUAUUUUAUAGAAUGCCUUAAAUGUGCACUGCUUUACAAAAUGUGUAAGGACAAAAGGUUCCUGGCUCAAGUUAUAAUCUAACCCAGACAAAUAUAAAAUGCUGGGCAGUUCAGGCCUAGAAAGGCAAAGAGACCUUGUCCUUGUGGGGGUGGAAGCAUAGGAAGGUCCUCACCAAAGCAAUGACUUUUGGGCAGUGGAAGAUUUGAAGGAGGAGAUUAAGUUGUUUUGGCAUGUGGGAUGCAGAAGGCUGGUUCAGGCAUAGGGGCCUGUUUAAAAAAAGGCAUAAAGUUAAGAAUGGGAGAAGUAGAUAAAAGGAUCCAUGAGGAGAGAGGAAAGAGAAGAGCCUAAGGAUCUAGAGAGGAUGAAAAAUGUGAGAGCUCUUGCAAAGCCUUGAAGUUUGAGGAUGAGAAAUUCAAACAGGAAGUGAAAUCAGUCUAAAGGUUUCAAGGUGAACUGGAAGGCUGAGCUCAAAGUGAUGGCAGAGAAGAAACCAAGCAACCACAUCAGCAAAAGAAUCCCCUAUUCAAAUGUUUUCUUGAUACUAAAAAUUAUCUUCAACGAUGUAGAAAAUUCAUUGAAAUUACUUGUUUAAAAUCAGUGGUGGUAGUGUUUCUGUUACUCACCUGCUGACUGACCUUGACCCAGGUUAGUUUAUCCUAGUGGAGGUUAAGACUAGAGAUGGCUGGAGGGUGAUAAUUGCAUUUUGUGGCAACUUUUAAGCAUUUAGAAUUUAUCUUUGUUCCCCAUUAGAACAAAACCAAAACUUUUCGGAAUGAUUUCGUGAAAACAGAAUUGUGUCCAAAUGUCCAUUUUCAAUUAAAACCCUGAGCUUUUUGAUCCUAGAAGGUGUGUGACACAUUCUGUAGCGUGGUGGGGAGGACCUGGGAUGAGGGAGACUACCAUUCAAGUCUCUGCUCUGAUUGACAGAAGAGAUUUUCAUCCCAGAUCUCUCUGAGUCAGGCAGGGAAGAGACUUGAACCCGGACCUCCUACAUCCCAGUGACCUCACCACCGGGCUAUAGAGGUGCGAUAGAUAGAUAGAAAGAUAGAUAGGAGAUAGAUAGAAAGAAAGAAUGAAUCUCUCAAAAUGUCAUUUAAAUUUCAUUUAGUCCAAAAUGUUCCAGUCAGCUCUAGUUAAGUGACUUGAUCAUGGUGUACAAGUACAUAUGUGGGGAAGAGAUUUGUGACUGUAAACACCUCUUUAAUCUAGCAGAAGGUGGCAUGACAAGAUCUAGUAGUUGGAAGCUGAAGUAGACAAAUUUAGACUAAAAAUAAGACGCAGUUUUUUAAGAGUGAGAGUAGGUCACUAUUGGAACAACUUAUUUAGAGGUGUGAUGGAUCCUCCAUGACUUGAAGUCUUUAAAUCAAGCCUGGUUUUCUUUCGAAAAGGUAUGCUAUAGCUCAGACAUGCUAUGGGCUUGAUGCACAAACUACUGGGUGAGUUCGCUGGCCUGUUAUGCGGGCGGUCAGACUAGAUGAUCAUAACUGGUCAUUUCUGUCCCCUUGAAUUUUUCCAAUCUGUAAAACUGAGAUAUGGAUACGUACCUGCCUUUCGAAUGCACUUUUGAGAUCUACAGAUGACAAGUGCUGUAUAAGAGCCAAAUAUAACUACUAACAUUCAUUGUACAUUAAAGUGUUAAAAAGUUGCUUAGAAACAUUUGUCUGGUAUUCUGAAUAUUUUUAUUAUAAUGUAAUGCACACUGUAAAAAUCAAUCCCAAUUAUACAUACAAAAUGAUAGAUUCUAAAUUAGCUGUUACCACUCAAGAAAGAUCUUGGCGAUGUCAUGGAUAAUUCUCUGAAAACAUCUGCUCAGUGUGCAGCAGCCAUCAAAAAAACUAACAGAAUAUUAGGAACCAUUAGGAAAGGGAUAGGUAAUCAGACAGAAAAUAUCAUAAUGCCACCAUAUAAAUACAUAGUAGACUCAAAUCUUUAGUACUGCGUGCAGUUCUGGUCACCCCAUCUCAAAAAAGAUAUAUUAGACUUGGCAAAGGUACAGAGAAGGGCAACAAAAAUGAGUAAGGGUAUGGAACAGCUUCCCUAUGAGGAGAGAUUAAAAAUACUGGCACCGUUGAUCUUAGAAAAGAGAUGACCAAGGGGUGGGAUAUGAAGGAGGUCUAUUAAAUCAUGCCUGGUGUGGAGAAAGUGAAUGGGGAAGUGUUAUCUACCCCUUCACAUAACAAAAGAACCAGAGGUCACCCAUUGAAAUUAAUAGGCACCAGGUUUAAAACAAACAUAAGGAAGUAUUUCUUCACACAAUGCAGUCAACCUGUGGAACUCGUUGCCAGGGGAUGUUGUGAAGGCCAAAAGUAUAACUGGAUGCAGAAAAGAAUUAGAUAAGUUCCUGGAGGAUAGGUCCAUCAAUCGCUAUUAGCCAAGAUGGUCAGGAAUGCAACCCAAUGCUCUGGCUAUCCCUAAACCUCCGACUGCCAGAAGCUGGGGUUGGUGGACAGGGGAUGGAUCACUCGAUUAAAUUGCCCUGUUCUGUUCAUUCCCUCUGAAGCACCUGGCACUGGUCACUGUCAGAAGACAGGAUACUGGGGUAGAUGGACCAUUGCUCUGACCCAGUAUGGCUUAUGUUCUUAUGAUUGUAUCUCCUUUGAGUCUCUGUCUCUUAAUUAACAAUGAGUUAAUUGGGCCCAGUCUUUCAAACACUUGAGAAAAUUUAGUUGUGUGCAGAAGUGUUUGCAGGAUUGGGCACCCUUUUUUCCUUGGCUAGACCACCAUUGUAAAUGAGAACUUGUUCUCCAGUGGAUUUUCCUGGGUUCAGUAAAGUUUUUAUUCCUGUUUUUAAACAAUAAUUGCAAUGCUGUGGUUUUCAAUAUGAUUGAUUUUUGCCUUGUUUAUUAAAUUAAAUCAGAUUUCAUAAACUUUAAUAAAUGUUAUGAUUAUAUUUAUAGAUGUUUUUAAUCUACAAAUAAACAUUUUAUUUUCUUUGGA